CAGCCGCCGCGGGAAUACGUAGGUGGCAAGCGUUGUCCGGAAUUAUUGGGCGUAAAGGGCUCGCAGGCGGUUUCUUAAGUCUGAUGUGAAAGCCCCCGGCUCAACCGGGGAGGGUCAUUGGAAACUGGGAAACUUGGGUGCAGAAGAGGAGAGUGGAAUUCCACGUGUAGCGGUGAAAUGCGUAGAGAUGUGGAGGAACACCAGUGGCGAAGGCGACUCUCUGGUCUGUAACUGACGCUGAGGAGCGAAAGCGUGGGGAGCGAACAGGAUUAGAGACCCCCGUAGUCCCUGUCUCUUAUAC
rnacentral:rRNA from 1 species